GAUGAACGCUGGCGGCGUGCUUAACACAUGCAAGUCGAACGAAGCACUCAGAUCUCUUCGGAGUGAUGAGUGACUGAGUGGCGGACGGGUGAGUAACGCGUGGGUAACCUGCCUUGUACAGGGGGACAACAGUUGGAAACGACUGCUAAUACCGCAUAAGCGCACAGCUUCGCAUGAAGCAGUGUGAAAAGCUGAGGCGGUACAAGAUGGACCCGCGUUGGAUUAGCUAGUUGGUGGGGUAACGGCCUACCAAGGCGACGAUCCAUAGCCGACCUGAGAGGGUGACCGGCCACAUUGGGACUGAGACACGGCCCAAACUCCUACGGGAGGCAGCAGUGGGGAAUAUUGCACAAUGGGCGAAAGCCUGAUGCAGCGACGCCGCGUGAGCGAUGAAGUAUUUCGGUAUGUAAAGCUCUAUCAGCAGGGAAGAAAAUGACGGUACCUGACUAAGAAGCUCCGGCUAAAUACGUGCCAGCCGCCGCCGUAAAAC
rnacentral:rRNA from 1 species